CCUACGGGUGGCAGCAGUGGGGAAUAUUGGACAAUGGGCGAAAGCCUGAUCCAGCCAUGCCGCGUGUGUGAAGAAGGCCUUCGGGUUGUAAAGCACUUUCAGUGGGGAAGAAAGCCUUGGGGCUAAUACCCUCGAGGAAGGACAUCACCCACAGAAGAAGCACCGGCUAACUCCGUGCCAGCAGCCGCGGUAAUACGGAGGGUGCGAGCGUUAAUCGGAAUUACUGGGCGUAAAGCGCGCGUAGGCGGUCUGAUAAGCCGGUUGUGAAAGCCCCGGGCUCAACCUGGGAACGGCAUCCGGAACUGUCAGGCUAGAGUGCAGGAGAGGAAGGUAGAAUUCCCGGUGUAGCGGUGAAAUGCGUAGAGAUCGGGAGGAAUACCAGUGGCGAAGGCGGCCUUCUGGACUGACACUGACGCUGAGGUGUGAAAGCGUGGGUAGCAAACAGGAUUAGAUACCCUGGUAGUC
rnacentral:rRNA from 1 species